GGGUAUGGCUGUUCGCCAUUUAAAGUGGUACGCGAGCUGGGUUUAGAACGUCGUGAGACAGUUCGGUCCCUAUCUGCCGUGGGCGCUGGAGAAUUGAGGGGGGCUGCUCCUAGUACGAGAGGACCGGAGUGGACGCAUCACUGGUGUUCGGGUUGUCAUGCCAAUGGCACUGCCCGGUAGCUAAAUGCGGAAGAGAUAAGUGCUGAAAGCAUCUAAGCACGAAACUUGCCCCGAGAUGAGUUCUCCCUG
rnacentral:rRNA from 1 species